rnacentral:tRNA from 1 species
GCAUUGGUGAUUCAGUGGUAGGGUUCUCGACUGCCACAUGGGAGACCAGGGUUCAAUUCCCAGCCAGUGCA